UGAAUUCAAUAAGACAAGUCUUCCAUUGAGCAUGCUUGGGCAAGUACAGCUGGAAUAGAAAAGAUAGUGGAUUCCUUGGCUUCCUCCAAGUGGACUGAGGGUUGAAGUAUUUUUCCAGUCAUGUUCUUGAACACCAACUUUCAUGGCAUGCUGACAUUUCCAGACU
rnacentral:lncRNA from 1 species